CCUACCACACAAUAUAAUGUCUUCUAUCUAGAUGUUGAUACAUAACGAUUUUUGUUUGAUACUUGAGAAGUUUAGCUUGGACUUAAAGUCACCAACGUUAUUCCAUGUCAUCAGUCUCAGGAUCAGAAGAGUCUCCAGUCUGGUCUUCAGUCUCUGGUUGUAAAAGUGGAUGUGAGUUCCUGGCUGGUUCUGGUCCUCCACAGUCCUCUCCAUCAGCUUCUGUUUCCAUCUGACCAACACAUUUAUGUGUUUUGAGUUUAGACCGCUGGGCAAAUUUUCUGUUACAAACUGAGCAGCUGAAAGGUUUUUCUCCUGUGUGGAUUCUCAUGUGUUGUUUUAGAUUUCCUCUCUGUGUAAAAGAUUUCUUACAGACUGAGCAGCUGAAAGGUUUUUCUCCAGAAUGAGUCAUCAUGUGUCUCUUCAGGGUUCCACUAUAAGUGAAAGCUUUCCCACACUCAGAGCAGCUGAAUGUUU